UACGUAGGGUGCGAGCGUUGUCCGGAAUUAUUGGGCGUAAAGAGCUCGUAGGCGGUCUGUCGCGUCGAAUGUGAAAACCCGGGGCUCAACUCCGGGCUUGCAUUCGAUACGGGCAGGCUAGAGUUCGGUAGGGGAGACUGGAAUUCCUGGUGUAGCGGUGAAAUGCGCAGAUAUCAGGAGGAACACCGGUGGCGAAGGCGGGUCUCUGGGCCGAAACUGACGCUGAGGAGCGAAAGCGUGGGGAGCAAACAGG
rnacentral:rRNA from 1 species